GCCACUGUAGCUCAGCUGGUAGAGCAACUGACUUGUAAUCAGUAGGUCGUGGGUUCGAAUCCAAUCAGUGGCUCCA
rnacentral:tRNA from 1 species